CAAGUCGACGGCAGCGCGGGGCACCUGGCGGCGAGUGGCGAACGGGUGAGUAAUAUAUCGGAACGUGCCCUGGAGUGGGGGAUAACGCAGCGAAAGUUGCGCUAAUACCGCAUACGAUCUAAGGAUGAAAGCGGGGGAUUCGCAAGAACCUCGUGCUCCUGGAGCGGCCGAUAUCUGAUUAGCUAGUUGGUGGGGUAAAGGCCUACCAAGGCAUCGAUCAGUAGCUGGUCUGAGAGGACGACCAGCCACACUGGAACUGAGACACGGUCCAGACUCCUACGGGAGGCAGCAGUGGGGAAUUUUGGACAAUGGGCGAAAGCCUGAUCCAGCAAUGCCGCGUGAGUGAAGAAGGCCUUCGGGUUGUAAAGCUCUUUUGUCAGGGAAGAAACGGUGCGGGCUAAUAUCCUGCACUAAUGACGGUACCUGAAGAAUAAGCACCGGCUAACUACGUGCCAGCAGCCGCGGUAAUACGUAGGGUGCAAGCGUUAAUCGGAAUUACUGGGCGUAAAGCGUGCGCAGGCGGUUUUGUAAGUCCGUCGUGAAAUCCCCGGGCUCAACCUGGGAAUUGCGAUGGAGACUGCAAGGCUAGAAUCUGGCAGAGGGGGGUAGAAUUCCACGUGUAGCAGUGAAAUGCGUAGAGAUGUGGAGGAACACCGAUGGCGAAGGCAGCCCCCUGGGUCAAGAUUGACGCUCAUGCACGAAAGCGUGG
rnacentral:rRNA from 1 species